rnacentral:rRNA from 1 species
UACGUAGGGGGCUAGCGUUGUCCGGAUUUAUUGGGCGUAAAGAGCGUGUAGGCGGCCAGGUAGGUCUGCUGUGAAAACUCGAGGCUUAACCUCGAGAUGUCGGCGGAAACCAUCUGGCUAGAGUCCGGAAGAGGAGAGUGGAAUUCCUGGUGUAGCGGUGAAAUGCGCAGAUAUCAGGAAGAACACCCGUGGCGAAGGCGGCUCUCUGGGACGGUACUGACGCUGGGGUGCGAAAGCGUGGGGAGCGAACAGG